GUUGGGGUGGCAGAGCCCGGUCAUUGCAAAAGACUUAAGCCCUUUAAAUAGAGGUUCAAAUCCUCUCCUCAACU
rnacentral:tRNA from 1 species